GGGAUUAAAGGAGCAAAUCAAAGGAAAAGACGAAAGAAAAACCAGAUAAGAAACUUUCAUGGCUCUAUGCUGCAUGUUAAUUUGAUGUGAUUUGUAUUGUAAUGCCAUUGUUCUU
rnacentral:ribozyme from 16 species